rnacentral:misc_RNA from 1 species
CACUCAGUAGUUUACUACUGUAAAAGAGGCUGUCAGUCUGUAUAGCUCACCAGCUGAUGAGCAGCUGGCCUCUUUUUCCCACCCUUGUCUUUUGCGCACUCAUGUUUCCUCGGCAGGCUUGCCUGCCGCUAGGACAAUACUAUAACCUUUUUUACUAUUAAAUCAGCGUCUGAAACUAUUGAAUUAUUA